rnacentral:tRNA from 1 species
GUGGCUAUAGCUCAGUUGGUAGAGUCCCAGAUUGUGAUUCUGGUUGUCGUGGGUUCGAGCCCCAUUAGCCACCCCA